rnacentral:tRNA from 1 species
GUCCAGGGGGAUGGGAACCUAGCCUAGUGGGCAUGGCAUCUGCCCAGUAAGAGGAACACUGUGGGUUCGAUUCCCAUCCCUGGACA